CAGCCGCCACGGGAAUACAGAGGGUGCGAGCGUUAAUCGGAUUUACUGGGCGUAAAGCGUGCGUAGGCGGCUUUUUAAGUCGGAUGUGAAAUCCCUGAGCUUAACUUAGGAAUUGCAUUCGAUACUGGGAAGCUAGAGUAUGGGAGAGGAUGGUAGAAUUCCAGGUGUAGCGGUGAAAUGCGUAGAGAUCUGGAGGAAUACCGAUGGCGAAGGCAGCCAUCUGGCCUAAUACUGACGCUGAGGUACGAAAGCAUGGGGAGCAAACAGGAUUAGAGACCCGCGUAGUCCCUGUCUCUUAUAC
rnacentral:rRNA from 1 species